ensembl:lncRNA
CUCUGUCGUCUCCUCAACUCUUCUUCCUCUCUUAUCUCCCUUCACCGCCUCUUCCCUCUCCUGGAGGAUGGAGACCAAUCCCGUUGCUCUGGGUUAAGACCAACACCUGGGCCAGAGAGGGGUUGUGGCUCAGCACAGUGGACAGUGACCCAGGUGGAGGGGGCCCCUCCCCGCCGAGUCCUGUUGGUUGAGCUCCGGCCACUGGAUGGGCAGUGGUUGGAGCCUGUUGCCCGGCAGCUUUGUGCAUCUGUGUCUGGAGGUUUGGUCCUGCUUGACCAUAGUCUGUAUUCUCUUCAUCCCUCGAGUUUGCAAUCAGUCCGUUCUCUUUGGCCAUUUGGGGAUUUAAUCCUUUCAGGAUCCACAUCAGUUGAUAUUUCUUUUUUUCUUUUAAAGACCCAGUUCACCUUUUAUUUCAGUUUUGAUGUUGUGACUUUCCAGGUCAACAGGUCCCCUUUAAAAGCCACUCCUAGUGUGCUCUGACCCUGGCCGCUUUUCUUGGCAACGGUCUUUCCAUCUUUCUCAAGGUGGGGAGGCACCUUGGUUGCAUCUUAGGCAGCAGGGAGUGACCUGCUAUGUUCGGUCAGCACCCACCAGGCAAAAAGGCUCAGUUCUCAGUCAGUCGUGUUUCAGCCCAAGUUUACCCUAAAGGAAAGAAAAAAAACCCUUGAAAAUGAUACUGACCUGGAAUCCUUGAAAACGAGACUGACCUGGAGAUCGUCAACCUAACCUCCCACUCCUGGACUGGAAAUAAAACUCCAUUUAAUUCCUUGGUGACGAGGACGAGCAAAGUCCACCCCUUGAAACUGACCGCAGCAGCCUCAUCCCUCCGCCGCAGAGCAGACAGUCUCACUGGGUCAGGAGCCACCAGCUCAACACAGGCUCCCAGGACCUCCGGCUCCGGCCGCCAUCCGUACAGUGACGUCUCCAGCAACCGAUGCUCUGCUGGGAGCCUCUGCAGACAGCCAGCUGGGCCAGUGGGUUCUUUCACUUCUCCUCUUUCUAAGUGGGGUGAGCCCUCCGUGGCCACGCAGGGGGUUGUAAGUAUGCUGGUUUCUUCAAUUCUCCUGGAGCCGCCUUUGGAAACCCGUCUCCUUUUCAACGGACUGAAUAAUGCCUUAACCAUUCGUCUGCAGUCAAGUCGCCCGCACUCAUCGAGCCCUCCUCGCCUGGGCCUUUGGCGUUCUUUAAAUGACAGUUUUAUACAGAAUGCAUCCAAAAUAAGAUGGCUAGAUAGGUGAUUUUUUAAGUAUAAUCUCUCUCUCUUUCUCUCUCUCUCUCUCCCCCCACUUCCCUCUCCCCACCGGCUUUGCACAUCAGCAUUUUGACAGCUGCUCUUCUGAGAAGUCCAUAUCACUUUACCCUCCAGUCGAUCCCCCUCUUCACACUCUUGCCUAAGAAAUUCCACGCAAGGCGUCAAGAGUCAGUGUGGUGGAAAACCCCUCAGCACCACCUGAGAAACUCCGGUGGAAGAGAUGUCCCCCCACCAGUGUUUAGGAUGUUGGGGGCUUUGAGCGACGCAGCCCCGACAACCUCCAGUUGCCUGGGAUUCGGGGAGAGGACAGUCAGAUGGGGAGGUUUUGCAGGGGACCAACCAGGCCGCAUGCUUUCAGCUCUUUCUUCCGUGCUUCCUGGGGAGAAGUGAGGCCAGCUCUUGGUAUUGGAAUAGAUGUGGGCCCAACGACCGAGGCCCUCAGCCUCAGAGGCUGUGCAGACUGCCCAGGAGCCAGGCGUGAUUAAAGCCCCACAGACGUGUGGUCGGAUCUUCUCCAAACUGAAAUGCUGGCGUCCAGGUGACUCCUGCAUGGAAGAUGGCAUCCCACCCAAGGAGAGCCUCCCUCCUCCUCCUCCCCCAUCCCUGUGGUCCUUCCCUUAAUACAGGAAGCUGGAUGAUGGUGGCCUCUGUGUGAACCAGCAUUUCAGGGUGAGGUCUGUGGGGAAUGGGGAGGAAGGCCCUUUCCUCUGGGAAUUGCCCCUCCCUCCUAUUUCAGCCGUGGCGUUGCUAUAGUCAGACUGUGUGUGUCCUCUUUUGACCUGUGUUGAAACAGAAAAGUGAAAGAAAAAAAAAAAAUAAGCCCCAUGGCAUUGUGAUGCCAUGGGGUAGGAGGGACCCACUCCACCUGGAUGGGGAUCCACCCUGGGCUCCGCCCCCUUAGGGAGUGGUGGAUCUGAGUCCCGUGCUGAGAGCCGCCAGGUGCCACUGUGUUGGUGUUGGGAUUCUGGGCAAGGCGAGGGUCCGGAAACGCAGAACCACGUAGAAAGCCAGUAGGCACAAACGUGCUGGGCCUCGGCCAGUCUGUGUCUCCUUUGCCCCCCCCCCCCCGCCGCCCCCAUCACCCCUCUAGAGAUCUCGUUCUUUGUGUGGGUUGGCUUCUGCAGGGAGGGGAGGACCAGGAAGUCAGGUUCUUGGAAAGUCAGCCUGAGAUUUCUGGCAAGGCCACCCCUCAGCCCCUCCCCGUCAUCCUCUCUGAAUCCCCUUGCCACCCUCACACCUGGCACCACACCAUCUCAUGAAUCAGCCUGGCACCUGCUUAACCAUCUCUGGUGGCGAUGUGCCUGUUUAAGAAAAAUAUAUGUAUAGUGCCAGUUGUGUGAAAGAAUGAUCUCGUUCCACACGGCCUUAUAGAUCCUGUAAAUACGGGGCUCGUAAAAGUCAUCCAUUGUGUUACGGGAAAUAUUUUGUACUGCAUUGAGUCAUAUCAGUAUCCUCCAAGUCCUAUACUUCCUCUGUGAUUAUGAUCCUUAGAAUGCUCUGUAAGAUGGGGGCAGUAAAGAUAUAUAUAUACCCACACCAUUGUAUUUUCCUGACCUUUCUCCUGGGUCCCUUCCUCCAAUACUUGAGUCAUGAUCGAAAAGGAACUCGAGUCCUGUGUGCAGGAAAGUUGAAGCGUCCUGCCAGCUGGUGUCCUCGCGGUUGCCUUACGAAUUCACGGGCUCCAGGAGGUUUGAACGGAAGGCGGUCGACCGGCACUUUAUUCAGUCCCAGAAAGGACCUCUCUAAUCAUGUGACUGAGAAUUCAUCCAGAAAGAAAAAAAAACUAUAUUUUUACCGUCAAAACCAACGGGGCCUCCCGGACCUCUCAGAGUAUCGGAUGCCUACAAGUGCUUUUCUAUUUUGUAACUGUAAAGAGAUUUCAUACGCACAGCAGAGCAGUUGGGAGUCUGGUCGACUGCCCUAAAACACAAUGACCUUUUGCAUGUACAAAGAUGUCACAUUCAGACUCUGGAAACAGCGAAUAAAGCUUUGACGCGAGCUGCCCUAGAGACCUCAGCGUGUCGGUGUGUGAAUGAAUGGACUCCCCCACGCAUGCUUGCCUGUCCCCAGCUGAG